rnacentral:tRNA from 1 species
UAUAUUUUAGUAUAAAAUGUAUAAAGGUUUUUGAUACCUUAGGAAAUUGUUUAAUUCAAUUAAAUAUAA